GAUCAGUGGCUCGAGGACGAACGCUGGCGGCGUGCUUAACACAUGCAAGUCGAACGGUAAGGCCCUUCGGGGUACACGAGUGGCGAACGGGUGAGUAACACGUGGGUGAUCUGCCCUGCACUUCGGGAUAAGCCUGGGAAACUGGGUCUAAUACCGGAUAGGACCAUGGACUUCACGGUUUGUGGUGGAAAGCUUUUGCGGUGUGGGAUGGGCCCGCGGCCUAUCAGCUUGUUGGUGGGGUAAUGGCCUACCAAGGCGACGACGGGUAGCCGGCCUGAGAGGGUGUCCGGCCACACUGGGACUGAGAUACGGCCCAGACUCCUACGGGAGGCAGCAGUGGGGAAUAUUGCACAAUGGGCGCAAGCCUGAUGCAGCGACGCCGCGUGAGGGAUGACGGCCUUCGGGUUGUAAACCUCUUUCAAUAGGGACGAAGCGCAAGUGACGGUACCUAUAGAAGAAGCACCGGCCAACUACGUG
rnacentral:rRNA from 1 species